rnacentral:rRNA from 1 species
CUACGGGUCGCAGCAGUGGGGAAUAUUGGACAAUGGGGGAAACCCUGAUCCAGCAAUGCCGCGUGUGUGAAGAAGGCCUGCGGGUUGUAAAGCACUUUCGGUUGGGAGGACUGCUUCUAGCACUAAUAUUGUUGGAAGUUGACGUUACCUUCAGAAGAAGCACCGGCUAACUCCGUGCCAGCAGCCGCGGGAAUACGGAGGGUGCAUGCGUUAAUCGGAAUUACUGGGCGUAAAGCGCGCGUAGGCGGCUAGAUCAGUCGGGUGUGAAAGCCCCGGGCUUAACCUGGGAACUGCAUCCGAUACUGGCUAGCUUGAGUACAGGAGAGGUGAGUGGAAUUCCACAUGUAGCGGUGAAAUGCGUAGAUAUGUGGAGGAACACCAAUGGCGAAGGCAGCUCUCUGGCCUGAUACUGACGCUGAGGUGCGAAAGCGUGGGGAGCAAACAGGAUUAGAUACCCCAGUAGUC